GGGGCAGUAGCUCAGCUGGGAGAGCACUUGACUGGCAGUCAAGAGGUCAGGGGUUCGAUCCCCCUCUGCUCCA
rnacentral:tRNA from 1 species